UACAGAGGGGGCUAGCGUUAUUCGGAAUUAUUGGGCGUAAAGGGCGCGUAGGCGGCCAUGCGUGUCUUCCGUGAAAUCCCUCGGCUUAACUGAGGACGUGCGGAAGAAACUGCAAGGCUCGAGUCCGGGAGAGGGGGGUGGAAUUCCCAGUGUAGCGGUGAAAUGCGUAGAUAUUGGGAGGAACACCGGUGGCGAAGGCGGCCCCCUGGACCGGUACUGACGCUGAGGCGCGAAAGCGGUGGGGAGCAAACAGG
rnacentral:rRNA from 1 species